rnacentral:tRNA from 1 species
GGUGAGUUGGCCGAGUGGUCGAUGGCGUUGGUCUUGAAAACCAAUGAACUGCAAGGUUCCGGGGGUUCGAAUCCCUCACUCACCG